GACGAACGCUGGCGGCGUGCUUAACACAUGCAAGUCGAACGGAAAGGCCUGCUUUCCCUUGUGGAUUGCGGGUACUCGAGUGGCGAACGGGUGAGUAACACGUGAGUGAUCUGCCCCCAACUUGGGUAUAAGCCUGGGAAACUGGGUCUAAUUCCCGAUAGGACUGCAGGGUGGUGCCUGUGGUGGAAAACGAUUUUCUAGUGGUUGGGGAUGAGCUCGCGGCCUAUCAGCUUGUUGGUGGGGUAAUGGCCUACCAAGGCGGCGACGGGUAGCCGGCCUGGGAGGGUGGACGGCCACAUUGGGACUGAGACACGGCCCAGACGCCUACGGGAGGCAGCAGUGGGGAAUAAUGCACAAUGGGCGGAAGCCUGAUGCAGCGACGCCGCGUGGGGGAUGACGGCCUUCGGGUUGUAAACUCCUUUCGACCGCGAGGAAGCCACCUGGUUGGAAGGGUGGUGACGGUAGUGGUAGAAGAAGCACCGGCUAACUACGUG
rnacentral:rRNA from 1 species